rnacentral:rRNA from 1 species
GACGAACGCUGGCGGCGUGCCUAAUACAUGCAAGUAGAACGCUGACUACUUUAGCUUGCUAGAGUAGAAGGAGUUGCGAACGGGUGAGUAACGCGUAGGUAACCUGCCUACUAGCGGGGGAUAACUAUUGGAAACGAUAGCUAAUACCGCAUAACAGUGUUUAACACAUGUUAGAUGCUUGAAAGAUGCAAUUGCAUCACUAGUAGAUGGACCUGCGUUGUAUUAGCUAGUUGGUGAGGUAACGGCUCACCAAGGCGACGAUCCAUAGCCGGCCUGAGAGGGCGACCGGGCCACAUUGGGACUGAGACACGGCCCAA